rnacentral:rRNA from 1 species
UUUCUUUUAGCGCCAAAUGCUAAUGUGCUUUCUACACCUUUAUUUAAUUUUGCAAAUUAGAAGUUAAAAUUAUUUUCGAAUCUUAAUUUCAACGUAAUUUUUUUACUAAUUCCUCGACAAGGAAAUAUUUUUUCAAUUUUUUUUUGAAAAUUUUUAUUAAAUAAAAUUUUUUAAAUUUCUUUAAUUCCUUUCGUACUAUAAAGAAAAGUUUAUUUUUUUUAUUUAAUAGAUAUAAACCAACCUGGCUUACGCCGGUUUGAACUCAAAUCACGUAGAGGAUUAUUGGACGAACAGUCCAAAAAUUGAACAUUCUUCUGCUAAUAAAAAAAUUUAAUUUUUCUUUUUUUUUAAAAAAAAUAUAAAAUAAUUUUUUUUUCAAUUUUUCUCUGGUUCAACAUCGAGGUCAUACUCUUUUCUUAUAAUAAGGUCUUAUAAGAAAAUAUUAUGCUGUUAUCCCUUUAGUACCCUUUUAAUAGGACUAAAAUAAAAUUUUUUUCCUCCUUUUUUUAAGAGAAAAAUUUUUUUUAUUUUUUAUACCCUAGGCAAAUUAUUAAAGUUAAGAGAAUUUGUCUCUUUGUUGCCCCAACAAAAUAAUUUUUCUUUUUUUUAUUAAAAUAUUAUGGAUUAAAGGGUCUUAUCGUCUAAUUUCAUUUCGGGGGAGAUUUUACCAGCCCUACUUAUUUUAAUACUAUUUUUAUUUAAGAAAGCUUUUCCCUCGUUUACCCAUUCAGACAAUCCGUUAAUUAAACGGCUAGUAAUUAUGCUACCUUAGCAAAUAAUUUGGCUGUUUUAUCUCAAAUUAGAGAUUACUGAGCAGGGCUUACUUCUAAUACUUUAAUUGUGAUUUUUUUGAAGAAAUGUUUUUGUUAAACAGUCGGGGAAAAUUGUCAAAUUUAUAUUAUAUUUGCUAAAUUCAUUAAAUAAAUUUUUUUGUCUAAAGAUUUUCCUAUAGUCACGUUUUGAUUCUUGAUUAUUCUUAAAAUAUAUGAUUAUUAUCGUACAUCCCAAAAAUUUUUGAGAAAAUUAUUUAUGAAUUUUAAAAUUAUCUUCUAAUUUUGAAUCCUCUUCGAUUCUCUGUUAUUAUUAUUUAUUUUAUAAAUUUGAAUCAAAUUAUCAGUUUUUUAGGUUCGGUUUACUGUUUUAGUACUUUCUAACAUACCCCUCUAUUCUACGGGGGCAAAAAAAUUUUUCUUUUAUUUUUUUAGAUCACCUAAUUUCGGGUCCUUUAGUCGUAAUACAAAAAGACUAAUAAUUAUAAUGUCAAAUUCUCUUUUCAUAGUAUGUGUAAAAUACUUUUUAAUUUUUUUUUGAUUUACAAUCAUUUUUUCAUUUAACAGAUGAAUUUAUUUUCAAUAAAUUUUGAUUUGAAAUCAAUGAAAUUUACUAGUCUCCAAAACUAUAUCUUCGUGCUUUUUACAAGAAAGCGGAUU